CACCCCACUAAACCAAAAACAAAGUGUUUUCCCCCCUCUUUCACCCCCUCCCUGCACGAAGCUUGUGGAGGUGGAGCCAGCACAGCACAGCAAUGCUACCACUCUCCUGCGCGCCACCGCUACCGCCGCCGCAGUCGCGCCCGAACCCCAGCCCUAGCCACAAGCCCAAGCCCCAUCCGUGCGUGCUUCUCUUCCCUGCCGCCCUCCGCACGGCGGCCGCGGCGGCCACCAUCUCCUUCUCCCUCCUCGCCGGCAACGCGGCGGCUGUGGCGGCGGUGGAGCAGCCCUCGGAGAUAUGCCGCGGCCAGGACGACGGGAGGGAGGUAGAGGUGAAGGCCGAGGCGGUGACGAACGAGCAGCUCGUGGAGGAGGCGUGGGAGGUGGUCAACGAGGGCUUCCUCCCCGACGCCGGCAGCCGCCCGUGGUCACCGGAGCUGUGGAUGCAACGGAAGCAAGAUAUUCUUCAAGGUUCAAUCAAAUCCCGCUCUAGAGCCCACGACAUCAUCACGAAAAUGCUAGCUAGCCUGGGUGAUCCAUAUACAAGAUUCCUGUCGUCCUCAGAUUUCUCGAAGAUGUCGAAGUAUGACAUGACGGGGAUUGGGUUGAACUUAAGAGAGAUUCCUGAUGACAAUGGUUCUUUAAGGUUGGUGGUAUUAGGAUUGAUACUAGAUGGGCCUGCUCACUCUGCUGGUGUUAGACAGGGUGAUGAGCUUUUGUCUGUCAAUGGUAUCGAUAUAAGAGGUAAAUCUGCAUUUGACGUGUCGUCCAUGCUGCAAGGCCCAAAGGAAACUUUCGUUACAAUUAAGGUUAAGCAUGACAGCUGUGGUCCUGUUGAGUCAAUGAAAGUGCAAAGACAGAUGGCUGCUCGUACUCCAAUUUUCUAUCGUUUGGAGAAAAGAGACAAUGAGAAUUCAUCUGUUGGAUAUAUUCACAUUAAAGAAUUUAAUGCAGUGGCCAAAAAAGAUUUGGUCAGCGCAUUGAAACGUCUACAAAAUUCAGGUGCCUCCUAUUUUGUUUUGGACCUGAGGGACAAUCUUGGUGGACUAGUGCAAGCUGGAAUAGAGAUUGCAAAGCUCUUCUUGAACAAAGGAGACACGGUCAUUUAUACUACUGGCCGGGAUCGUCAAGUCCAAAAUACAAUUGUUGCUGACAGUGGACCUUUGGUUACAACUCCUGUGAUGGUACUGGUGAAUAAUAGGACAGCAAGUGCCAGCGAAAUAGUUGCUUCAGCACUUCAUGACAAUUGCAAAGCUGUUCUUGUCGGUGAAAGGACUUUUGGCAAGGGCUUAAUCCAAUCAGUAUUUGAACUUCAUGAUGGUUCUGGUAUUGUCGUCACAGUUGGCAAAUAUGUCACGCCAAAUCACAAAGACAUCAAUGGAGAUGGAAUAGAACCAGACUACCGCCGUCUUCCUGAUCUCAAUGAAGCCAGAGAUUACCUUUCGCGUUGCCAAAGCAAGAAAUUAAGUUGAGGUGAAGUGCUUUAUUACAAAGCUUCUUACACAAUAAUUGCCCGUGCGUUGCAAUGGGAGUAUAAACAUUCUAGCCCGUGACAGCACGUCUACUAUUACAUUGAUGCGCUAAAAUCUUAGAAAAGUCAAUGGGAGAAAAAUCAGAGAUGGGAGGAAAAAAUCAAGAAGGGAAGAGGGGGGCGUGUAUAUAACGAAGGCAACACGUUAGAAGUAUGGAACGGAGCGUUAUGCCCGGGAGAAUUGUACAGCGAAGAAUGAACUCUCCCUGGUGAGGUGAGACCACAAGCUCGACAUUGAAGCCUCAAUUCAAUAUAGGCAUCUGCAGAGAUCAGAGUCAGCAUGUCCUUGGAUUCACACCGGUUCCGCAGCUCGGUAGAGAAAGGAGAGAGCCCUUGGAUUGCAUUGGCUUCUGCUGAAUAUACCCAGCACCAGACACCAUCUUAGAGCAACGCUAGCAGAUGCAGAUCCCCCAAAAAGGCAGCCUCUAAAAUCGUUUUGGAGUGCACUCUAAAUUUUACAGGACACAUUUGAAGGAUAGAGAAACAAAAGACUAGUCCUAUGCGCUGUGGCAGUCUUGGACAGACGCAUCAGGCAUCGCAACAAGACUCUGGUUGGGCGGUACCUCUGGACAAAUACAUUUCCAUGUCACAAUCUUCUUUGCCUUGAGGACAAGGCGCAACUCAAGAUGAUGAUAGUCUAUCCUGUCUCAAGCUGAUCUGAACAGACUCACUGCUACCUGAAGAAACACAACACUAGCACUGAGUGGAGCAAAAUGCUCCAGAGAAUGAGUGACUGAGAUGAGCCAAGGCGACUUAAGUGAAAGAUGUGCGGCUUUACAUUCUUUUGCUGACACCCUUUUCCCGGAACAUCAACGUUUACUUCUACCUAUGCAGGCUCGUUUUGGCACAUGGGAGCAUAUGCUCCUGGUUUUUAAAAUAUGUUUUAAACAUAUUUUAAAAUGUCACAAAAUUCUGUCAAAAUGAUGCCCGACUAUCUUUGGACAUUCUACGUGCACAAAAACUCGUUUUGCGGAAAACUGGCAACUUUUGUGUCACAUGUAAAAAAGACAAAAUGUAGUGUUAAAAAAGGCUUUUCACGAGACAUUAUUUUGUCUUUUUUACACAAGGCGUAUAAAAUGUCGGUUUCUCAUGAAAUUUGGCGUGUGCACAUACAAUGUUGAGAUGUACGUGUCAAAUUUGUGUUUGGAAAUUUUUGUCAUUUUAAAAUAUAUUUUUCAAUGGCAGGAGCAUAUGCUUCUAUGUGCCAAAGUGAAUUUC